rnacentral:rRNA from 1 species
AGAACGAACGCUGGCGGCAUGCCUAACACAUGCAAGUCGAACGAGACCUUCGGGUCUAGUGGCGCACGGGUGCGUAACGCGUGGGAAUCUGCCCUUGGGUUCGGGAUAACAGUUGGAAACGACUGCUAAUACCGGAUGAUGACUUCGGUCCAAAGAUUUAUCGCCCAGGGAUGAGCCCGCGUAGGAUUAGCUUGUUGGUGAGGUAAGAGCUCACCAAGGCGACGAUCCUUAGCUGGUCUGAGAGGAUGAUCAGCCACACUGGGACUGAGACACGGCCAGACCUCGUACGGAGGCAGACAGGUGGGGAAUAGUUACGGAACAAGUGGGACGAAAGGCCU